UGACCUGGCGGCAGGCUUACACAUGCAAGUCGAACGGUAACGGGAAGAAGCUUGCUUCUUUGCCGACGAGUGGCGGACGGGUGAGUAAUGCUUGGGAAUCCGGCUUAUGGAGGGGGAUAACUACGGGAAACUGUCGCUAAUACCGCGUAAUAUCUACGGAUUAAAGGGUGGGACUUUCGGGCCACCCGCCAUAAGAUGAGCCCAAGUGGGAUUAGGUAGUUGGUGGGGUAAAGGCCUACCAAGCCUGCGAUCUCUAGCUGGUCUGAGAGGAUGACCAGCCACACCGGGACUGAGACACGGCCCGGACUCCUACGGGAGGCAGCAGUGGGGAAUAUUGCACAAUGGGGGGAACCCUGAUGCAGCCAUGCCGCGUGAAUGAAGAAGGCCUUCGGGUUGUAAAGUUCUUUCGGUAACGAGGAAGGUGUGUUGUUUAAUAGACAAAGCAAUUGACGUUAACUACAGAAGAAGCACCGGCUAACUCCGUGCCAGCAGCCGCGGUAAU
rnacentral:rRNA from 1 species